GGUUUUACACUGGUGUGAACAGAAAAGGAACAGGCAGGCCAGUGGGGCCCCACCUGCCAGGAGCGCGCACACACACACACACACACACACACACACACACGCCCCACCCUCUGCUGCAGGGAGGCCCAUCAUCAUCAGAUGGGGGUCUGGGGCUCGGAGCUGAGGGCAGAAAGACUGUGCUGGAAUUAGGACCCUGGUGAUUCUGAAGCCCAGGUGUGGCAUUGUGAGGAAAAAGGGCCGUGGGAGCUUAAGGAAGGUGGGGUGUGGGAAUGGAGAAGACUUGAGGGCUGAAGGGAGAGGAAGGGGUGAAGUUGGUGAGGGGUCAUCAUAGAUAUAGAGCGUGUGUGUGCGUAUGUGUGUGUGCUCGUGUGUGUCUGGAGGGGUAGGGAAGACCUGGGCAGGGUAGAGGGAAAAACACCUCUUCAAUUCUGGGCCAGGCUCCAAGGAGCCCUGGAGGCAGAUAGGCUGGAAUUCCUCACCCAGCUCCAUCCCUUUCUCCCCUGACAGUGGCCCAGGAGAUGCCGCUGAGUUUAGGGCAAGCGGUGCCACCCACACUAUGCUCCAGCGAUGGUCAUGAUGCCCUGUCACACAUAUGAGCUCAUUUCUUCCUAGCUCUUGUGCCCUGAGUCGGACUGUGGAAGCGUGGACCUAGACGUUACCCAGACCAGAGGGUGGUCCUUGGCCCUGCUGGUGACCUCGGGCAAACCGCUUAACCUCUGGAAGCCUCAAUUUUGUCACGUAUGCUGGGACGAUAAUAGUUUUUGUCAGUGAACUUUGCUAAGCCUCAGGUGCAGCAAUGUUAAGUGGGACUGUGAUGUUCACGUGCCACAGCGGAGGAGAGCAUGAGAAGCAGUCAUGAACAGAAAGCCUUUGCGGGGCCCUGGGGUGCUCUCGGUUCUAUUUGAGAGUUGAGGAAGCUCACCCGGGCGGGGCUCAGGGGCUUCCUCAGCAUCACAGGUGGACCCAGGUUCCAUGGCUAUGGGUGGACAGCGGGCUGUCUGGCUCUUGGGGGCGUCCCCUUCUGUUUUUCCUGUUGAGCUGGACAGAGCCUCAGAACAACCUAGACUUCCCACGUUGCCAAAUCGCUUUCCAAAUGGGAAAUGUGUGACGAUUUCUGACACCUUCUCCAGACAUGGGAAAGGCUUUACGAAGGGAUCUCACACCUCUGCUGAGCCCUGGCAGGAGGGAGCUGGCCUUGACCUGCCCAGCGCAACAAAGCUUGAGUGCAAACAGCGAUUGUCCGUUUUAUAGGCCACAGCUGCUGGGAGAAACGUGAUGCUGAGCUUGCUGGGUUCCUGCGCACGGUUCAGAAUUUGCAAGUAAAAUGGAUUUUGUGUCAUUCACACUCAUCUGGAAUUUGAAUCAGCUCAGUGCUGCCCAGCUCCCCACUGGUGCUGGCUGCGGCUGGAGCUCGCCGUUCUCGGUGUGGUGAGCUUGCACCGCAGGCUUGGGGGAGCACGGCAGCUGCAUAUUGGUCCGGUUACCGUUACGGUUAUGGUUACUGUUUGCAAAGCGUUUCCCCCGCCUGGCUUGUGUAUAGGCCUCCCACAACCCUGUGAGAUGGAUGAGCCAGAAACUCUGCCCAUUUUCCAGGAGAGGCAGGGCUAGCCUCACAGGCCUGAGGCCUGUGCAGUCACAAACGACCCUGUGAUCAGGACCUGAGCUUCUUGGUUUAAUGCUCUUCUGCCAUCAUCUUGAAAUUUCAAUGAUUUUAUCUUUGAACCAGUGUUUUGUAGGUGAAGGCUGGUGGGACCGUGGAGCGGGCACAUGAGCCGAAGAUUCAUGCAAUAGACACGCCUGCUGUUCCUUGCUGCCUCAUUAGCACGUGUUCUUCUUGAUGCCCCAUGAGCAGAGAGUUCCAGGGAACCCAUGACACAUGGAGUGUGACUCGAAAAUGGCAUCAAAUAGCAAAUAAAAAACAUCAUAACAAGAUGAGAGAGACUGGAAGAAAGAAGAAAGCUCAGCGUUUUAGUUACUUUGAUGACACCUUUUUCCUGCUUUUUGAAGAAGAGUUCCCACAUUUUCAUUUUGAACAAAGAGCCCCACAAUUACGAGAACAAUCUGACAGAGGGCAUGGCGACUGCGGAUAGGAGGCCACCCAGAUCCCAGAGUUAUUCAGAGAGGAAGAAACCAAUGCUUUGAAAGGUUGAGCAACCUGCCCACAUUACUAGACUGGCAAGCAGCACAGCCAAUCACCAUGGACCCACAGACUCAGCCACCAACUUCUCUGCUGUCCUGCCUGCUAGAAGUAACACACCUGAUUCUUUUGUACCUGUGUCCCUGGACGUCAGGAUCCUCCUGGUAAGAAACAGAGUCGUUCAUUUCAUUUGUUUUUCUUUUAAAGUCAUGGAUCAUGGGAGUCCUCUUCCCGGCACCCUUUAACUGGUAACACUUCCUGUCUUGCCCUUCCAACAUUCUCCACAUAGCAAGGAGACAGUUAUCUAGUAAAAACCUAAUACGUGAUUAUCUUGCUUCCUACUUAAAAGAAAAUGCAAACUCCCUGAACACAACCUUACUUAACUCCCCGUGUGAUCUGCCUCAAGGCUUCUCUCCACGCUCCUCUCAUUGUGCUGUAGCCACAUUGGCCUAUCUUUGUUCCUCCAAUCUGCUAAGCUCUUUCCCACCCCAGGACCAGCUGAUGUUCCUCCUUUUGCCUGGGAUACUGUUCGUUCCUGUUGCUCUUUGCCUGGCCAACUGCAGCUCACUGUUCACUUUACAUCAUAACUGUAAAUUCAAGAUUUUACAUCUGCUUUGGUCAUCUGGCACAAAACGGAUGCUUGGUCAAUAACACAUUACUUCAUUUUCUGUUAUUUAGCCAGUACUCGCCAAAAAAUAGGAAAAAAAAGAAUAAUGAGAAUAAUACAUGAUGAGUAAUAAGACGUCCCAACUGUACAGAAGUUUUUCGAAGUGGUGAUGAGGAAAGUCUCCUUUGCUUCGCUGGCCCCUCCCUGGUCCCUCCCUGGCCCCUCCCUGUUGAGUGUACAUUCUUCCAGACCAUUUUCCAUGGACUUCGGUGCCAGGAUAAUUAUUAAGAUGCCAUUUUCUUUGCAUCUGGUAUUUUCUUUCCUCCCAACCUGCAAGGUGGCCAAACCUUCCUGAGUGGAGCAGGGGUUUCCUAAGAGCUUUUGGAGUUCAAGGCCCAGAAUAGAAGAUGUGGGCCACAGAGAACACAGAGCUCACCCAGGCAUUUGCUUCCAAAGUCAGGCAGCCAGGAGCUGUCGGCCCAGUUAUCUCACAGUGGUGGGCCUCUCAGGGGAGAUGUGAACCAACGUGAAGGAGGUGUGUGGGCUGGGCUGGCAAGGGUCAGGGUUUUGUGGUGCUAGAAGGGGCAGGAACCUGGACCCCCCUCACACACAUCCCCUGGAGUGGCCAUGGUGAGGGAAGUGUUUUGGAAGGACAUGGAUGUCAGGGGCACUCAGAGAGAGGGACUGCAGGUGCCCAGGCUCCUGGUUCACCAGGAUAUCUGUUCCCGAGUUUGGCAUGAAGACAGCAAAGCUGUCCACCCUUAUAGGAUCACCCGGGUUGGAUCAUCUGGGUUGGAUCCAGGUGCUAAAGCUCCAAAGCUGUUGGCAAGCCCUUAGAGAAUACUGAGGGGCCUGAAGAUGCGAGACCCUUCCCUGAAUUUCCUGGAGGUCUUGGACACUGGAGGGAACACCCAGCA